UACGUAGGGUGCGAGCGUUAAUCGGAAUUACUGGGCGUAAAGCGUGCGCAGGCGGUUUUGUAAGCCAGAUGUGAAAUCCCCGGGCUUAACCUGGGAAUGGCAUUUGGGACUGCAAGGCUCGAGUGCGGGAGAGGAGACUGGAAUUCCUGGUGUAGCAGUGAAAUGCGUAGAUAUCAGGAGGAACACCGAUGGCGAAGGCAGGUCUCUGGGCUGACACUGACGCUCAUGCACGAAAGCGUGGGGAGCAAACAGG
rnacentral:rRNA from 1 species